UACGGGAGGCAGCAGUGGGGAAUAUUGCACAAUGGGCGCAAGCCUGAUGCAGCCAUGCCGCGUGUAUGAAAAAGGCCUUCGGGUUGUAAAGUACUUUCAGUCGUGAGGAAGGUGUUAAGGUUAAUAACCUUAGCAAUUGACGUUAGCGACAGAAGAAGCACCGGCUAACUCCGUGCCAGCAGCCGCGGUAAUACGGAGGGUGCGAGCGUUAAUCGGAAUUACUGGGCGUAAAGGGCACGCAGGCGGUUAAUUAAGUUGGAUGUGAAAUCCCCGGGCUUAACCUGGGAAUGGCAUUCAAGACUGGUUAGCUAGAGUCUUGUAGAGGGGGUUAGAAUUCCAUGUGUAGCGGUGAAAUGCGUAGAGAUGUGGAGGAAUACCGGUGGCGAAGGCGGCCCCUGGACAAGACUGACGCUCAUGUGCGAAAGCGUGGGGAGCAA
rnacentral:rRNA from 1 species